AGAGUUUGAUCAUGGCUCAGAACGUACGCUGGCGGCACGCCUAACACAUGCAAGUCGAACGAAGUAGCAAUACUUAGUGGCAGACGGGUGAGUAACAUGUGGGUAUCUACCCUUUGGCCUGGAAUAACACGAGGAAACUUGUGCUAAUACCGGAUAAGUCUUUACGGAGAAAGCUUUAUGCACCAUUGGAUGAGCCCGCACUUGAUUAGUUUGUUGGUAGGGUAAUGGCCUACCAAGACUAUGAUCAAUAGCUGAUUUGAGAGGAUGAUCAGCCACAUUGGGACUGAGACACGGCCCAAACUCCUACGGGAGGCAGCAGUGGGGAAUCUUGCACAAUGGAGGAAACUCUGAUGCAGCGAUGCCGCGUGAGUGAAGAAGGCCUUUGGGUUGUAAAGCUCUUUCGUCGGGGAAGAAAAUGACUGUACCCGAAUAAGAAGGUCCGGCUAACUUCGUGCCAGCAGCCGCGGUAAUACGAAGGGACCUAGCGUAGUUCGGAAUUACUGGGCUUAAAGAGUUCGUAGGUGGUUGAAAAAGUUGGUGGUGAAAUCCCAGAGCUUAACUCUGGAACUGCCAUCAAAACUUUUCAGCUAGAGUAUGAUAGAGGAAAGCAGAAUUUCUAGUGUAGAGGUGAAAUUCGUAGAUAUUAGAAAGAAUACCAAUUGCGAAGGCAGCUUUCUGGAUCAUUACUGACACUGAGGAACGAAAGCAUGGGUAGCGAAGAGGAUUAGAUACCCUCGUAGUCCAUGCCGUAAACGAUGUGUGCUAGACGUUGGAAAUAUAUUUUUCAGUGUCGCAGCGAAAGCAUUAAGCACACCGCCUGGGGAGUACGACCGCAAGGUUAAAACUCAAAUGAAUUGACGGGGACCCGCACAAGUAGUGGAGCAUGUGGUUUAAUUCGAAGAUACGCGCAGAACC
rnacentral:rRNA from 1 species